UGUGGAGUCUUAUGUAGGUAUGAAUAGAGUGCCUACUUGUAUCACAUAAUAUUGCUAAGUCAAACACUAGAUCCAAGGAGAUGCAAGACAUACACUUUGAUCAAGAUGUGCAAGUGUGUGGGAAAUAAUCUAUGCCUAUUCUUUUUUUGAACUCCUUUUGUAUGAAUCUCUUUUCUUUAAAAUUAGGAGAAUAUGGGCCGUGCUUUUCUUUUUCUCUAUUUUCUUAUCUCAUGCCCUUUUGGCAUGGACUCUUCUUGGCUUGGAAUUUCUUUUCUUUUUGCUUGGCCGAAAUUUUUUUUUAGAAGUUUUGAACAAGAUCAUAACAAAUGAAUUGUAACACCCUAGUGUUAAGCAUGCAUUAGGGCUCCAUGAACCUACAUGAGCAUUGACAUAAGCAUGAGCACCUCAUCUCAUAAGCAUCUCAUGUGUGAGUGAUAUUUGCAUAGUAUUUAAGUAUGAAUUAAUUAUGAUGAUUGUUAUGCUAUGUCUAAAAAUGUUUGUGGUGCCUAGAUUACAUUGUUUUGUGC
rnacentral:lncRNA from 1 species